rnacentral:rRNA from 1 species
AUUGAACGCUGGCGGCAUGCCUUACACAUGCAAGUCGAACGGUAACGGGCCUUCGGGUGCCGACGAGUGGCGAACGGGUGAGUAAUACAUCGGAACGUGCCCGAUCGUGGGGGAUAACGAGGCGAAAGCUGUGCUAAUACCGCAUACGAUCUACGGAUGAAAGCAGGGGACCGCAAGGCCUUGCGCGGACGGAGCGGCCGAUGGCAGAUUAGGUAGUUGGUGGGAUAAAAGCUUACCAAGCCGACGAUCUGUAGCUGGUCUGAGAGGAUGAUAAGCCACACUGGGACUGAGACACGGCCCGGACUCCUACGGGAGGCAGCAGUGGGGAAUUUUGGACAAUGGGCGCAAGCCUGAUCCAGCCAUGCCGCGUGCAGGAUGAAGGCCUUCGGGUUGUAAACUGCUUUUGUACGGAACGAAAAGCCUUCUUUUAAUACAGGAGGGUCAUGACGGUACCGUAAGAAUAAGCACCGGCUAACUACGUG